rnacentral:tRNA from 1 species
UUAGGAUUGGCAGAGAAAAUGUAAUAAUUUUAGGAAUUAUAAAUAAGUAAUAUUAUCCUAAU